rnacentral:misc_RNA from 1 species
AAGUGUGCCGCCAGCGUUGGCACCGGCGGCGAGCCAUGCUGAAGUGUGGCGGAACGCUGUUGAAGGCUCGACUGACAGCUUUCAAUCCAUGGAAGCGCAGACCUGGAGGGUUGCAGCUUAAUGGGCGGCCUCAGAUGAUCAACCCUAGCUACUUCCGCGGCAGAUACAAGCAGCAGAACCCUGACGAUCCAUGUCGUCUACUAAAGCCAAGUCACGUGCUCCUGAAGCGGUGCCCCGCGUGCAAGCGAACCAUGUUCGUGCAGAUCAAGGAUAAAGACACGUUUCACAUGUGUUGUGAGGGUGUACCGAUGAAGGUGUACUCGGAUAUGAAGACUGUCAUGAACAUCGAACACAAGAUACUCACUCUUACUCGCCAGUGGGAUGUCGAAAACGAGCGGCCGUGGAGCAACCCUCAUCGCCCGCGACCAAAGGGGCGAUCAAAGCUGAAGAAGUAGACAUCGGAAUAAGAUGUCUCUUUUGCUGCUAGUGAGAAGGUAAUCGUGAGCUUUCUCGAUACUCUCUACUCGUUCACCCAGCUACCAACUGACAAAAGAAUAUAGGUGAACAGACACACAGAC